rnacentral:rRNA from 1 species
UACGGAGGGAGCUAGCGUUGUUCGGAAUUACUGGGCGUAAAGCGCACGUAGGCGGCGACUCAAGUCAGAGGUGAAAGCCCGGGGCUCAACCCCGGAACUGCCUUUGAAACUAGGUUGCUAGAAUUCUGGAGAGGCGGGUGGAAUUCCGAGUGUAGAGGUGAAAUUCGUAGAUAUUCGGAAGAACACCAGUGGCGAAGGCGGCCCGCUGGACCGGCAUUGACGCUGAGGUGCGAAAGCGUGGGGAGCAAACAGG